AGUGAACGUUGGCGGCGUGCCUAAUACAUGCAAGUCGAACGAAGUGGCGCACGGGUGAGUAAUAUAUAGUUAAUCUGCCCUACACAGAGGAACAACAGUUGGAAACGGCUGCUAAUACCUCAUAGUGUAGGAUGAUACUCUACCGUAUCAGCUAGUUGGUAAGGUAAUGGCUUACCAAGGCUAUGACGUGUAACUGGUCUGAGAGGAUGAUCAGUCACAUUGGAACUGAGGCACAGUCCAAACUCCUACGGGAGGCAGCAGUAAGGAAUAUUGCACGAUGGGGGAAGCCCUGACGCAACAACGCCGCGUGGAGGAUGACACUGUUCGGAGCGUAAACUCCUUGUAUCAGGAAAGCGGUACCUGAUGAAUAGACACCGGCUAACUCCGUGCCAGCAGCCGCGGUAAUAC
rnacentral:rRNA from 1 species